rnacentral:ncRNA from 1 species
UCUGAGCCCUCGGCCGUGACUCCCAGCUGCUCGUGCCCUGUCGCCACUUCCCCGGUGCCAGGUCGGAGCGGAUGGGGAUCAGGGCCUGGGGACCAGGACCG